CCCACUUGAGCCCGGUGGCCUCAGA
rnacentral:piRNA from 1 species